rnacentral:rRNA from 1 species
UACGGGGGGAGCAAGCGUUGUCCGGAUUCACUGGGCGUAAAGCGCGCGCAGGCGGUCUUCUACGUCUGGGGUGAAAACCCGGGGCUCAACCCCGGGACUGCCUUGGAUACGGGAAGACUUGAGGAUCGGAGAGGCAAGGGGAAUUCCACGUGUAGCGGUGAAAUGCGUAGAGAUGUGGAGGAACACCUGUGGCGAAGGCGCCUUGCUGGCCGAUUUCUGACGCUGAGGCGCGAAAGCGUGGGGAGCAAACAGG